CAGCAGCCGCGGUAAUACGAAGGGGGCUAGCGUUGUUCGGAUUUACUGGGCGUAAAGCGCACGUAGGCGGAUCGAUCAGUCAGGGGUGAAAUCCCAGAGCUCAACUCUGGAACUGCCUUUGAUACUGUCGAUCUGGAGUACGGAAGAGGUGAGUGGAAUUCCGAGUGUAGAGGUGAAAUUCGUAGAUAUUCGGAGGAACACCAGUGGCGAAGGCGGCUCACUGGUCCAUUACUGACGCUGAGGUGCGAAAGCGUGGGGAGCAAACAGGAUUAGAUACCCGUGUAGUCCCUGUCUCUUAUAC
rnacentral:rRNA from 1 species